rnacentral:rRNA from 1 species
UAAGGAAUAUUGCUCAAUGGGAGAAAUCCUGAAGCAGCAACGCCGCGUGGAGGAUGAAGGGUCUAUGACUUGUAAACUCCUGUAAAGAAGGAAAAAAUUCCCAUUAGAUGGGAGAUGAUGGUACUUCUGGAGUAAGCCCCGGCUAACUACGUGCCAGCAGCCGCGGUAAUACGUAGGUGGCAAGCGUUGUCCGGAUUUACUGGGUGUAAAGGAUGCGUAGGCGGAUACUUAAGUCAGAUGUGAAAAUCCCGGGCUUAACUUGGGAACUGCAUUUGAAACUGGGUAUCUAGAGUGCGGGAGAGGAAAGUGGAAUUCCUAGUGUAGCGGUGAAAUGCGUAGAGAUUAGGAAGAACACCAGUGGCGAAGGCGACUUUCUGGACCGUAACUGACGCUGAGGCAUGAAAGCGUGGGGAGCAAACA